GUGGGAAGCCCUACCUGCAAACCUACUCUACAAACAGGCUGCUAAGCCCAGGAAGACAGAGAAAGAACACACAUCAGUACCACUCUCCUUGAAAUAUAAGGCCACAUGGGAAAUGCUGGCCUAUGGUGCGGGAGGAGGGUAGAUACCCAAACCAGGAUUAAAAAGCCAACCGACCCUAUUUACACGUAAGACAUGCUCCAAUCACCACCUACAUGCCUGAAGCUGAAUUUGGAAUUCUCAGCCACUUUGGCACCUGCUCUAGAACAACUACGGUGAUAGGCAGAGAACAAGUCCCCACCCGCUUGUCUCCCAUCCCAGCCCUGCCACUCACUGAGGGGCAUGCAUAGCUCCAUGUAGACACCCUGGUUUCUAUCCAAGCUCUAGUCACACAUCCUGAUGCCCUUCAGAUGCCAGCACCCAGGUGCCCUUUGGACAAUCACAGUGUGUCCUGUGAAAAUGAACCCAGAGAAGUAGGACCUUGGUAUAUAAUGCAGACUGACCCCAAAUGCUUGCUCUUUCUACCACCGCCUCCCACAUGCUGGGAUUACAGGCCAGUCACAAGGUGCGUUGGGAAGACAACAUCCUGUUCUUGAGAAGCUUGAAUUGAUGGUCACACCUGAAACAUCAAAGGCUUUAGAAGCUGAAUCGGAUCCACUGUAUUCAUCUAACAACAUCCCCUUUGGCUUACCCAGAGGAGUCAUCAGUGGAAAGUUCUAAUGCAAUAGCCAUUUCAUGUAUGGCUCUAAGAAAGUGCCCCAUCCAAGAAAACAAGGGCAAUCUGUGCCCCUCCCCACCAUACCUUGGCCUGUUUCCACAUUCUUUAACUAUACUAGCUAACAAGCUGAGGAAUAUAACUGAAGUAUGUUCCUAAGUUCUGUGAGCCAUUCUGGCAAAUUAUCGACCCUGAGAAGGAAGUGGUGGGUGUCUCAAAUUGAACACAAAGAAGAUACCACACUUGCCUGCCUACUUCUUUGAUGUGUGCCUUUUUUCCCAAAGUCAACUUUUUCAUGUUAUUUCACAGUAAAAUCUGCUUCUCCUCUGACUCAGACAAACCAUUUCUGACCACAGUCUUCAUAUUUGAGUCCUACUGUUUCAAAACUCCUACCAAGGAUUGGUAGGUGGAUUUACAUAUGAGGUACCCAUGGAGCAUUAUGGCUGUUUCUUGGUAGCUGUGUCUCCUGGUGUUCAGACAAAAUGCUCUUUGGUGGUUUAUGCUGUGGUUGGCUUCUCCCCAACAUAGCAG
rnacentral:lncRNA from 1 species